UUUUAUGACCCCAAUAAGAAAUGGACGAAAACGAAAGAAGGAAUAAAAUUUAGCAUUAUAAUGCAUUACUGUAAAUAAAACAUUUCAACUCUAUCAUUAAAUUGAUAAUGUAGUUGGCUUUUUGUAGGUAGAACAUGUAUGCAACGUUUCCUUAAAUAUAACUUUUUUCACUGGACACUUCAUCUGUUGAUAUAUAACUGUCACAAAAAAUGCUACAGACAAAUGACAUAGAUUGAACAAUGGUGCAUAGGAAACAAUGAAAUCAGAAGGUAACAAUCUGUACAAAAUCAAGACUACUGUGAGAAGGAUAGAGUUGGAUAUACAGAAUGCAAUAUGUGAUGAAGAAGAUGUUACACGGAAUGCUAUAUAUGAAAAAUUGGAAGCAGAGAUAUCUAAUGAUGGAGAUGAUUGUAAUGAUGGGCCCCCACCUAAAAUCUCAGAUUUCUUAAAAUUAAUCAAUGAUCCACUUUGUAAAAAAAUUGCAAAAUCAUAUUCUACAUGUGGAGAUGAAAUGUUUCAAUGCUUUUCUAAACAGACCCUGGAAACUUUUCGUAACUUACGUGCAAUUGGUGAUGAAUGGGAUAGACGCUAUGAUUUUUUGGAAUUUUUAUUUAUAAAUGUAGCUGAGUCUGCAAAGUUCACAGAUUUAUUCAAUAUUGCAUUAAGAUUGUUUAAAGAUGGUAUAACCUGGAGACGUCUUUGUCUUUUUUUGGAUAUUGUCAGAACGGUAGCAAUAAGAUAUUUAGUAGUUUAUUUACGUAGGAGUAUGAAUAUGCUACUUCCAGAUGCAGAAGGGUUUAUACGGAGGUUUGAAAUAAAUAGAAUAUGGAAUACAAGAAAUAGAAAUUGGAGAAAUAACAGUCCUUCAAAGUAUGCAUACAUAGCUGUCCCUGCUAUAGCAAUGGCUGGGACUGCAUUUUACUUCUGCUGGAAAUCAUAAACAGGAAUCUAUUAAACAGCCAAGACACCUUAUAUGGUUUGUAGUUCUUACUGAAUCUAAUAAUAUUUGUAUGGAGAAUAUAUAUACAUGUAGGUAAUUGUUGAGAAUCACAAAUGGACAAAUUUGAUUUAUACAGACCAAAGGAUAAUAUGUCAACCUUGGAAGUAACUGAAUAAUACAUAUGGAAUGCUAUAAAGAAAAAAAGAAAGAAAAAAAAAACUCGCCAAAAUAAAAUCUGGCAGAUUAAAUGCUGCAUACAAAAUUGCUACAAACUUAAGGAUUGUAAUCAAUAUCAGAAUGCCAAGUAUUAAUAUUGGUCAAAGGUGCAUUCAGUCUUCAAAAAAAAAUUAUAAUUUUAUUUAUAUUUUGUAUUUUGAUUCCUCUAAUUUUUUCUCUAUUUUCACAUUUCCCUACCGAUUGUGAAAAAAAUUGUUCUCCUCACUAGUGAAAUAUCUGUUCUUGGCAAAUGAUUGGUCGAAAUUUAAUUAUGACAUCAAAUUUUCUUGGUUUCUUCUAAAUUUUCUAUUGUGACAUCAUGCCUGAUGACGUCACAUAUAAAGAACACAACUUUCUGCAAAUCUGCAAAUCUUUGAAAAGGAAGGAUAAAAAUCAUUAGAGAAACAGAUUCCACCACUACAACUCUUGUAUUACGAUAUUUCUCCACUCUCAAUGUUAAAUUUUAAUUGUUUUAAAAGCUCGGCCAGCCUUGCACUUUAAUAUUAAAUAUUAACUGUCUUGAUUGGAGAAAUAUUGUAACACACUUGUUGCAGUGGUGGAUCGAUAUUUAUAUAAUUUAGAUGAAAACAUGCUAUCAUAAAUUUGUUAUUCAAAACUUGUGUACACAGAUUUUAAUUUGCUAUUUUUAAUAUCAUUCCCUGUAUUGAAUUUAUUUCAAAGGUAUUAGUUUACUUGAUGUUAGUGAUAAUUCUUUUUUAUUGUUAUGCAUUGAUUACAGUGGCGGAUCCAGGGUUUUCAAAAAGGGGGAGUGGCCAACUGCAAAAAAAUCAGAAAAAAAUGUUAAAAUUUUUUUUAGCCACGUUUAUCCAUCGCAUUUUACAAUUGGAAGAUUGAUUUUGGUGGGCAAUACAUCAAGAUUUAUUGUACACUGUUAUGUUUCACAUGUCUAGGCAGCAAAAUAACAAACUGUGAUAAUUAAAUUGAAAAUAUAAUUGUAAGUUUUAUUAUAUUUUGAUAUCAUUUUGUACUCAAUAUAUUAUUUUUACACUUGUCAUAUCUUGCAAUAAUUAUAGUUUUACUUAAAAAUGGUUUUACCUGUUGUUUUCA